ensembl:lncRNA
CUUCCCUUCCCUUCCCUUCCCUUCCCUUCCCUCCGCUUCCCUUCACCCUUUUCUUCUCCCUUCUCCCUUCUCUUUUCCCUUCCCUUCCCUGUUGGUGCCAGACAGCACGCAGCAGAUGAUCCCUGGAGGGGUAUGCUCAGCACACACAAACAUGAUGUUUACUGGCUCUGGGAUGGAUCAGGGAGGGAUUUACAGACUCCAAGCUUGGCUGUGCGGCUCAGAGAUCACCCUGCAAGUUCAGCUGCAGGAUGCGACUGCCCUUUGGCACUCACAUUGCAGCAGAGGGGAAGAUGCUUUUGCAGCCAGGAGCCAGCUCAUCCCUGAGACCGCAGGGAGCCGCAGCCGCAGAUUGAAACCGCAGCUCGCCAGCAAAUGCAAAACAAUGUGCAAACAUGUUUUAAUGUCAGGUUUUUAUUAAAAGUGGACUAAGAGAUUAAGAUGUUCAUCUGCCUUGCAGGGAGCGACUUUAUAAAUCUCAGCUUGCGUGCUCUUGCCAAGCGUUGCUAAUCAGCAGGCUGGAUCCACGUCACGUGUGCACAGUCUGCUUCCUCGUGAAGGCUCUCUUUCUCCAGGCAAUGGGAGAUUGGGCUCAGUGAGACCUCCUGGGGUUUAAUGAGGUUCCCACUGACACAGAGUUAUUGGGUUCUUAUUCCCCUUUUAAGCAUUCUGCUCUACAGGCCUGCUGCAUGUUGGUGUCUCUGCUUUGAGGACUCUGUGUGGAGCAUCACUGGGUCAGCAGGGACCCAUGUCUGGCAUGGGAUCCCCUAUUGGACGCGUUAGAAGGUACUUUGAAUGCCACAGGGAUGGCAGUGAUCACUGCAAAGACCUUUGAAAGCAACUGGCAUGUUAAAAACUCUCUGCCACGCUGAACUGCAGUGGUGGCAGUGAUUUAAGAGCACUGGAAAAUCUUGUCCUUGACCUCUUAAGCUUGUCAUAGCCAUAGGAUUGGAGCAGCUUUGGCGAGAGAUGAUUUGGUUCCUGGCUUUUUUUUCCCCUUCCUCUCUGCUUGUUUUAUGCUCCUAUAAGCAUUCAUCCAGAAAUUCCCCUUUGCUGUGCUGGAUUGAUGGCUCUGGGACAAUCAGCAGUAUUCUGCUGCUGUUAGGAGUUCUAAAGGCAGUAAAGUUGGGUCCUUGAAGUGCUGUCAGUAAUCAUUUUUAUGGUGGUCAGAUUGCUCAUUAGCACACUUGUUUUCAGAUAUUUAAGCUGGAAAGAAAUCUAUAGUCCUUGCAUUUUUAACUUGAUAACCACUCAAUAGAACAAAUAGAGUUGGAAAUUAGAGCAGAGCUGGGCUGGAAGAAAUAGUCCUGAAUGCUCACCUUUUACCCCAAAGGUCUAUGGAGACAAUUGCUUUGAGAACACAGCUUGGGGGAGCACAUGCAUUCCCAGCCUACCGAGAGGUAAUAACAGCUCAGGUUUACAGUGGUGAUUAGCCAGUAGGAUGGGACCUGGAGGUAGUCCUAAAAUAGGUAUAUUGAAAGCUUCUGCUCUGAGUCUGGGUGAAAAACAAGGACUGGAUUGGAGCUGGACAUGAAGCAAAAGAAACAGCCCAAGAAAUCCUAACCGAUGGUUCCCAGAACCUGGAGGCAACUGGGUGGAUUCAGAGCAGUGCUGGAGUGGCUUUUCUUGAAGUCCUAUUUCCCAGGCAGGGCUGUGAAUGGCCCUUGAGCACAUGAUGGGGUCUGGGCAGCUGGUUGGGAACUGCUCUGAGUCCUGGUGCACAGUGUGGGAGGUGUCCUGGGGGGGUCUGCAUUUCAUGCUGGCUGUGGUGGCAGAGAGAGGGAGGAAAGCCAUCGGGAAGAGGAAUGUCGAAGUAGGCAGCUGUAGUGGGAAAAUAAUCCUUCUUUCCUGAAGUAGUGACCCAUCCCUGGACCAUGGCCUUUCUGCCCUACCCGUGAUGUGUUUGGGGGCACCCAUCAGAGAAGCAGCAGCCUGGCGCCUGGUGCUCACCUCCAUCUCCCAGAGCGUUCCCUUCCAUCCCGAGCACAGCUCAGCUGCAGUAUCCCCCACCACACCUUUAGUUUAGGCAAUAAAGCAGCAAAGGGUUGGAGGAUUGGUUGGGAUUUUUUUGUUUCUGUAAAGCAUUUUGGGAUUCAGUGGAAGGCAAGGUGCUGUGCAGAUGUAAGCUCGUUAGAAGGUCAUUAUCAUUAUUCACCUGCUGUGUCUGUCUGUCUCUCUAAAUGGCUUUAGCUGUCAGCCUAUUUAUCCAUGUUCCCCUCUUCCUAUUAUUAUAUGGUAAGACAUUGCCUCUGCUCCUAGCCCCCCUAAGGCCCUCCCUCCCCAUUUCCCAUGCCAACAGCACUGUGCUUUGUCUGAUGGGAGUUCAAGGAGCCCAAAGCCAGACUGCCCCGUCCUCCAUCCAUCCUGUGCUGCUGGGGGAACUGGAGGUGUUCCUGCAGCCCUGGAUGCAAAGAGGGUGCCCAGAGUGUGCUCCCCCCACAGCCAGCCCUCAUCUGUCCCCGUGCAUCCCCUGUGUGCUCCGGUGCUGCUGUGUAGCAGCGUUGAUCAGUGGAGAUAAUUAAUAUGAGGAAGUAGAAAAUUUUGUCUUGGGCUUAUUACAGACUCUAACCCUAUUAGGCAGGCCAUUUGGAGUCCAGGGAGGGCUGUUUCUUUCCAGAAGAGAUUGCAAGUGGAUUGAGUUCCAUUAUGUUCCUAAUUAAAAGGAAUGAAAUAAAAGAAAAAAAUAAAUAAAGAAGGGAAGGAAAAGAAGCGAUGGAGCUUUGUGACACUUUGGGAGGAAAUUAAAGCCUCGUAGGUGUUUUCCACUGAUGCACUCACGUGCACUGCCUUGGUGCUUUCUGCUUCCCUCUUCCAUCGCCAACCCAUAUGCGGAGCCCCAGUUCUCCUGGCCCAAGAGUGGGAGGGCCAGGAUAGGGCCUAAGGGGCAGCAAUGGGGCUGAGCAUCAGGAUGAUGCGAUGGGAGCCGGGCAGGGAUGGAUGCUGGGCAGAGGCAGCGAGCUGCAGGCUGGGAGAGCCGUGGUGCACAGUGGGGUGUGGGUGCAAUGGCUCUGCGAGGGAUUCUACAUCAAGGAGAGAUCCCACAUCAAGGCAGCGCCGUCGGGCUCCCAGGAGCGCUAUCGCUUGCCCAAAGUGCUCGGAGCACUUACUUAUUUUGUAAUGCGGCCCCGCAGCCUGUGAUGUGCCAGACGUGGCGUGUCUAAGAAGCCGGGCUGUUCCUUAUCAGCCUCUCGCACUGUCUCAGAACCCUUCUGCUAAGUGUCUUUUGUCCCCUAAUAAACUGAUAAGCUGCUGGUAAUCCGCUGAUCGCUGAUAGGCAGGGCGGCCCUGCUCUCCCUCCCUGCACAGAUAAGGUGGCUCUUUGCCAGCGGGCAGCGGGUGAUACAGCUCAGCCCGCAGCAGGGAGCGGGUGGGCUUUGGGAGUGUGUGCCCCCCACCCCUGGCUCGUGUGAGGAGAGAGAACAGGACCGGGUUGGACUCUCCUGGGGGUUCUGCAUCACUUGGGCAGGCAGGUCCUGCAUCCGUCCUGCAGAGUGUGGGCGUCAUGUCCUGUUCCCAAAUGUGCAUCCUGGCCCUGCUGUCGGCUGCACAGCGGUGCCAGGCUGGGGCAGGGAGUCCUGUGGCUGCCUGUGCUCCUGGAGGGAGACUGGAAAGAAAGGGAAGGUGGGAGGGAAGAGGAAAAAAGGCAUGCGUUUCCUCCUCUUCCCUCUCUGUUGCAGCACUCUUGCUCUCCGCUGUCAGGAGAUGGGCAGGAGGGAGGAGCGCAGCACCCUUUUGGUGUUAAUUAUCUACGAAGCCAUGCAGCUGUGGUGCACGCAGCUCCGGUGCUGGGGCUGCUGCCACCUUUGCAUCUGCCCUGUGCUGUGCAGGAGUAAAGCCCUCUCCCACUUCCCUGCAUCCAGAGCAGCACAGGGCUGCAAUGCAGCACCGCUUCCCUUGGGCUCCCCAUCCCAGCAAACAGCUGCGAGCCUGCGUGAGCCGUGGGGCUGUGGGACAGCCCAGCUCCAGAGGGGGAUCA